UGAAGAGUUUGAUCAUGGCUCAGAUUGAACGCUGGCGGCAGGCCUAACACAUGCAAGUCGAACGGUAACAGGAAGCAGCUUGCUGCUUUGCUGACGAGUGGCGGACGGGUGAGUAAUGUCUGGGAAACUGCCUGAUGGAGGGGGAUAACUACUGGAAACGGUGGCUAAUACCGCAUAACGUCGCAAGACCAAAGAGGGGGACCUUCGGGCCUCUUGCCAUCAGAUGUGCCCAGAUGGGAUUAGCUUGUUGGUGAGGUAACGGCUCACCAAGGCGACGAUCCCUAGCUGGUCUGAGAGGAUGACCAGCCACACUGGAACUGAGACACGGUCCAGACUCCUACGGGAGGCAGCAGUGGGGAAUAUUGCACAAUGGGCGCAAGCCUGAUGCAGCCAUGCCGCGUGUAUGAAGAAGGCCUUCGGGUUGUAAAGUACUUUCAGCGGGGAGGAAGGUGUUGUGGUUAAUAACCACAGCAAUUGACGUUACCCGCAGAAGAAGCACCGGCUAACUCCGUGCCAGCAGCCGCGGUAAUACGGAGGGUGCAAGCGUUAAUCGGAAUUACUGGGCGUAAAGCGCACGCAGGCGGUCUGUCAAGUCGGAUGUGAAAUCCCCGGGCUCAACCUGGGAACUGCAUUCGAAACUGGCAGGCUUGAGUCUUGUAGAGGGGGGUAGAAUUCCAGGUGUAGCGGUGAAAUGCGUAGAGAUCUGGAGGAAUACCGGUGGCGAAGGCGGCCCCCUGGACAAAGACUGACGCUCAGGUGCGAAAGCGUGGGGAGCAAACAGGAUUAGAUACCCUGGUAGUCCACGCCGUAAACGAUGUCUACUUGGAGGUUGUGCCCUUGAGGCGUGGCUUCCGGAGCUAACGCGUUAAGUAGACCGCCUGGGGAGUACGGCCGCAAGGUUAAAACUCAAAUGAAUUGACGGGGGCCCGCACAAGCGGUGGAGCAUGUGGUUUAAUUCGAUGCAACGCGAAGAACCUUACCUGGUCUUGAC
rnacentral:rRNA from 1 species